GCAAGUCGAGGGGUAACGGGGAAGCUUGCUUCCGCCGACGACCGGCGCACGGGUGCGUAACGCGUAUACAAUCUACCUUAUACUGGGGUAUAGCCUUUAGAAAUGAAGAUUAAUCCCCCAUAGUCUCUUAGAGUGGCAUCGUUUUAGGAGUAAAGGUUACGGUAUAAGAUGAGUAUGCGUUCUAUUAGUUUGUUGGUGUGGUAACGGCACACCAAGACUACGAUAGAUAGGGGCCCUGAGAGGGGGAUC
rnacentral:rRNA from 1 species